rnacentral:rRNA from 1 species
UACGUAGGGGGCAAGCGUUGUCCGGAUUUAUUGGGCGUAAAGAGCGUGUAGGCGGCUUUGCAAGUCCGUUGUGAAAACUCGAGGCUCAACCUCGAGAUGUCGGCGGAAACCAUCUGGCUAGAGUCCGGAAGAGGAGAGUGGAAUUCCUGGUGUAGCGGUGAAAUGCGCAGAUAUCAGGAAGAACACCCGUGGCGAAGGCGGCUCUCUGGGACGGUACUGACGCUGAGACGCGAAAGCGUGGGGAGCGAACAGG